rnacentral:tRNA from 1 species
CCAGCGCUGGGCGUUGGCCGAGGUGCAGGCGGUCUGGAUGAUCGCCUGGCCCCCUUCGUUCGAGUCGGUGGAGAUGGC